rnacentral:piRNA from 1 species
UUUUAUUCGUUAUGUAUUUUU